rnacentral:ncRNA from 1 species
GAUAGGUCUCUGUCGCUACCGUGAUUGGACACUGACACACAGUCAACUAGCCUUGUCGACGCGGUUCUUCGCGCGGGGAACGCGAGGAAUCAGAGCGGUCCGAGCCACGAGGGGGGAGGCUCGGACCGUUCGAU